UUUAAUUUGAUUUGACAGAUGACACACAAAAGAUGUCAAUUACGUUUAUAAACAAUUUAAACAUUUAACGAUAUUUUUAAACUAAUUUAAUUGACAACAUCAAGAAAUACCACCCACUCAGAAUUAACCAUGCCCGAACCACCCACGUAAAAAUAUCUUGAAGAAACAACCGUUAAAGUCCAAAUAACAUUGAACACUGAACAUUAGGAUUAGUGUUUUGCCAAACGGUCUUUAUGAACUUACAUGGACACUAUUUAUAUUUUAUUUCUAUUUAAAGAGGAUAAUUGUUGAAUAUGUUGGGUUGCCGAUAUGUCAAAGAAAAUAUUUGAAGAUGAAAAGGAAAUGUUUUAAUUUAAUCAAGUUGAUCUUGAUAUUGUAAUCUUAUUGAAAGGAUUUAUAAAGUUUACAAUGAUGAAUUAAAACAAUUAUAUUACUUUUUAGGUAGAUUUACAAACUGUUUGACUUAAAUUAUUUUGAUUAUUACAAUACUUACAUUAAACAUACUUGUUUAUACAUAAAGAUGGAUACCUAUAAUAAGAUAUAACCAAUCACAACUGUAUUAGAUAAUGUUCGAACUGAGACUAAACAAUAAUUGCUUUAAUCAAACAAAGAAAGAUAAUGAUUCAUUAUUAGAGGACAUAAAAAUCGUUAAUAAAAUAAAGGAAGGGAUCAAUAAUAAUGUA